GGCGUCCCCUGCUGGUAGCUUUGAUUUUUCACUCAGGAGGAACAACCAAUGGAAGAGGAGAACAGUAGCCUGUGCUGACAGCGCGGCUACGUAUGAAAGACAGGAAUCUGAUAGACCGGACAGGAGAGAGCACAGAGGAGUGCUAGUCCCACUCUCACUUACUGGACUUUGUCUCAGCCUGUGCUUCAUCUAGGACAAAGAUGAUUCUGCAGCCGGACAGGAUUAUGUUCUGAAUGGUAUGGGGUCCCCUAGUGGCCUUUUCUAUAAGCCAUGAUUUAUAUCAAAAGGAGGACCCCCUGUAUCGUGACUGCGCCAGGAUACAGAUGAACCGCCAGUUCCGUUGAAUCUGCAGAGCUGCAAAGAGAGAAACCCGGUUACAGCUGAAGACUUUGGCUCUGUUAGUCACGGUCGCCAGAUGUCGGCUCCCAGGACUAGAUGGAUAUUGUGGAACGCAGCAGAAGCCAGUGGAAAGGAAACUUGCUAGGUCAGGCAUCUGCACACGGGACAGACAUCAAAUGGAUAGCGUGCUUGAUGUGUGUCACGUUUCAAUGAACACGCGGGAAACAAACCAAAUCAUAAAAAGGAGAUCAGACGCCUCGCCAUGGGUCACAUGACAUCGCUACAGUCAGCCUUAUACCCAAAUAGAUCCAAGAGAGUAACAUAUGCCCCAUUUCAGCCCAGAACUCUAAAUGAGGACACGUGUUUUUUAUUUUUUAUUAUAGUACAUCCCAAAUAUUACCCAGAAGCUAUGGAGUAGAUCUGAUGUCAUGUGACCCAACAUGCAUUCUCUUACAUGGUAGGUUGUAAAAGUAAAUUAGAAACAAAACCUCUGCAUAAAGAAGCAUUUCCACGUAAAAUGAUCCAGAAAUGUAAAGUGUCAGAAAUCUCCUUGUUGUUUAAAAAUUAAUUUAACCUGUUGCCCUUAGUAGAAAAAUAGGGACUGUACAGGGAACCUUAAAACUUUGCUUCUAUUAAGCUAGUAUAAAAAUAGCAAUAAUGUGUCAAAAAUCAAGAAAAAAAUAGCAAAAAAACAUUAAAACAUAUUCAGAUAAUGUCGCCACCAGGUUGUUGUCCUUCAUUUAUUGUAUCCAUCUUAGGAUAGCAAAGUCUAUGGAUGCUUCACUUAUAGAAUAUGUAAGGCUCAGCACAAGUUCACACCUUAAAGGGGUACUCCACUGCUCAGCGUUUGGAACUGAACGUCCACUCUUCUUCACGUUGAAGCAGUAUUCUAUCCCAACACCCACCUCUUACAUACUGGUAUGUUGUUGCAGUACGUCCGCCAUCAGUGCCGCACAAAUAGUGCUAUGUGCACUGUAAUACAACUAGGAGACCAAGCUCUACAUUAGGUCCCUGAUGAUAUAAGCUAUUGAAACGCGUUGGACAUGCCCGAGAGAUGGAGCCAUCAUUGUGGAAGCACCUACUUCUCACUGCCGCACCAAGAAGAUAAGCUAAGUGUGACAGUCACUAUUUUUCUAUAACUUUUUUGGGAGCCCUAAUUUACCUAUCUAGUAAUAUCAGUGUCCUCUGUCCCCUUAGUGCAGUAUUUGCCAACCAGCGUGCCUCCAGCUGUUGCAGAACUACAACUCCCAGCAUGACGGAAGUUGUCGUUUUGCAGGAGUCACGCUGGUUGGGAAACACUGCCAAAGGGAGCUUGCACUAAUAGGCAGACUAGUUAUUCAGGAGUCUGGGAAAGCUUUUUUUUGUCACUUUUGUAACAAAAAGGACAAAACCAAUAUAAACCCCAUAAAAAAAGAAAUUCUGUAAGGGCAAUUUCACCGUAAAAACAUACCGUAGUACUAAAAUCAUUGCAUGCAUAUUGUAUAUACAGGUGUUUUUUGCUGCUUCUUCGGUCCAUAACAAAAAAAAAAAAUGUUUUAAAUGUUUUUUUUUACAUGCGGCAUUGCUUCAUCUAUGUUGCACCAUUACUACGGUCUGCAAACAUCUGGACAGAAGACUGACUAACAUAGGGUCCUGAGGGUGGAAAUGCUCUUUAAAAUGUUAAUAAAAAUGACAUUUUAGUCGAUGUUAGCGGUAAACCAACAAUGCACUGCUAGUCACAAUCCUUGUUAAUAGGUGGGGACAAUGUGCACUG